rnacentral:rRNA from 1 species
GACGAACGCUGGCGGCGUGCCUAAUACAUGCAAGUAGAACGCACAGUUUAUACCGUAGCUUGCUACACCAUAGACUGUGAGUUGCGAACGGGUGAGUAACGCGUAGGUAACCUGCCUGGUAGCGGGGGAUAACUAUUGGAAACGAUAGCUAAUACCGCAUAAUAUUAAUUAUUGCAUGAUAAUUAAUUGAAAGGUGCAAUUGCACCACUACCAGAUGGACCUGCGUUGUAUUAGCUAGUAGGUGAGGUAACGGCUCACCUAGGCGACGAUACAUAGCCGACCUGAGAGGGUGAUCGGCCACACUGGGACUGAGACACGGCCCAGACUCCUACGGGAGGCAGCAGUAGGGAAUCUUCGGCAAUGGACGAAAGUCUGACCGAGCAACGCCGCGUGAGUGAAGAAGGUUUUCGGAUCGUAAAGCUCUGUUGUAAGAGAAGAACGGGUGUGAGAGUGGAAAGUUCAC